CGUAGGGGGCUAGCGUUGUCCGGAUUUAUUGGGCGUAAAGAGCGCGUAGGCGGCUAGGUAAGUCCGACGUGAAAUCUGGAGGCUCAACCUCCAGCGGUCGUUGGAAACUACUUGGCUAGAGUCCGGAAGAGGAGAGUGGAAUUCCUGGUGUAGCGGUGAAAUGCGCAGAUAUCAGGAAGAACACCGAUGGCGAAAGCAGCUCUCUGGGACGGUACUGACGCUGAGGCGCGAAAGCGUGGGGAGCGAACAGGAUUAGAUACCCUGGUAGUCCACGCCGUAAACGAUGGGUGCUAGGUGUGAGCGGUGUCGACUCCGCUCGUGCCGAAGCUAACGCAUUAAGCACCCCGCCUGGGGAUACGGCCGCAAGGCUA
rnacentral:rRNA from 1 species